GAUGAACGCUGGCGGCGUGCCUAAUACAUGCAAGUCGAGCGAACAGAUAAGGAGCUUGCUCCUCUGACGUUAGCGGCGGACGGGUGAGUAACACGUGGAUAACCUACCUAUAAGACUGGGAUAACUUCGGGAAACCGGAGCUAAUACCGGAUAAUAUAUUGAACCGCAUGGUUCAAUAGUGAAAGACGGUUUUGCUGUCACUUAUAGAUGGAUCCGCGCCGCAUUAGCUAGUUGGUAAGGUAACGGCUUACCAAGGCAACGAUGCGUAGCCGACCUGAGAGGGUGAUCGGCCACACUGGAACUGAGACACGGUCCAGACUCCUACGGGAGGCAGCAGUAGGGAAUCUUCCGCAAUGGGCGAAAGCCUGACGGAGCAACGCCGCGUGAGUGAUGAAGGUCUUCGGAUCGUAAAGCUCUGUUAUUAGGGAAGAACAAAUGUGUAAGUAACUAUGCACGUCUUGACGGUACCUAAUCAGAAAGCCACGGCUAACUACGUG
rnacentral:rRNA from 1 species